GAUGAACGCUGGCGGCGUGCCUAAUACAUGCAAGUCGAGCGCGAAGAUGAGGAGCUUGCUCCUCAUGAUCGAGCGGCGGACGGGUGAGUAACACGUAGGCAACCUACCCUUGAGAUUGGGAUAACUACCGGAAACGGUAGCUAAUACCGGAUACGACUUUUCCACAUAAGUGGAAUGGUUAAAAGGCGGAUUUAUCUGCCGCUCAUGGAUGGGCCUGCGGUGCAUUAGCUAGUUGGUGAGGUAGUGGCUCACCAAGGCGACGAUGCAUAGCCGACCUGAGAGGGUGAUCGGCCACACUGGGACUGAGACACGGCCCAGACUCCUACGGGAGGCAGCAGUAGGGAAUCUUCCGCAAUGGACGCAAGUCUGACGGAGCAACGCCGCGUGAGUGAUGAAGGGUUUCGGCUCGUAAAACUCUGUUGUUAAGGAAGAACACUUGAGGUAGUAACUGGCCUUGAGAUGACGGUACUUAACCAGAAAGCCACGGCUAACUACGUGCCAGCCGCCGCCGUAA
rnacentral:rRNA from 1 species